CAUCACUGUUGGACUGAAACCAGAUCGUGAGACAGAGGGAGUUCAGGAGAAGUAUGAUGAUGUCAUGAGUGUCAGUGAAGAUGUGACAAACCUGUUGGAUUAUGAUGAUGUGGAGG